rnacentral:tmRNA from 1 species
CCCCUUCAAUUCCGGGGGAAACCGGACUAUAUCAGGCUUGUUCCCGGCAACGGGAACUAUGGUGAUAAACGCGCACGUAAUACGCGGAUCGGACCCGGGGGCGGUACCCGGCGGCUCCACCAACACCCCGUUCAUUGGCGGGCGAUGGGGCCGAAACAGGAUCGACGGACGUCUAAAGGUGUUUGCUUUUACCCGGUGAGGUACCACCGUUAUCGGUCCGACAUGUACAGUUGCCAAUGACAACCGUGCUCCGGUGGCGCUCGCAGCGUAAGCUGUUCGCAAAACCGAUCUUAAGCCCUGUCCUCUAGCAAGGCCAGGCGGGGUUCGCAGGCACCUGGCAACAGAAGCCUGCACU